CGAUAGCUGGUUCCUCAAGAAAAGAAUUUUAGUCCAACCUAAAGUAAUUUUUAUCUAAUAAAAAUUUCCCCCGUUUACUUUAGAGCAAUUCAAGUGAGGUUCAGCCCACUUGAUACAGGAUACAACCUUAACUAACGGGUAACACCUAGUUUACACCCUCCCCAAGUGGGCCUAAGAGCAGCCACCUUUAAAAAAGCGUCAAAGCUUAGCUACGUGUACACUAAUUCAAAGACCCCCAUUGACCCCUUUAUUUGUACUGAGGACUUCUAUAGUACUAUAGAACCUUUUAUGCUAAAACUAGUAACAAGAGGAAUAAACCUCUCUAUAAUGCAAACUUAAGCCAGCAAGAACCCGUCGCUGGCAACUAACAGGCCUAAAUAAAGUAAUAACUCAUCCCGAAAACCUUACUUCCCCCAACUGUUAACCUUACACCAGAGCAUUCCAAGAAAGAUUAAAAGAAAAAGAAGGAACUCGGCAAACAUUAGUCCCGCCUGUUUACCAAAAACAUCGCCUCUUGCCUGUAUAAGAGGUCCAGCCUGCCCAGUGACUCUGUUCAACGGCCGCGGUAUCCUAACCGUGCGAAGGUAGCGUAAUCACUUGUCUUCUAAAUAAAGACCAGUAUGAAAGGCACCACGAGUACUAAACUGUCUCCUCUCUCUAAUCAGUGAACCUAAUNNNCCCGUGAAGAAGCGGGGAUCCCCCUAUAAGACGAGA
rnacentral:rRNA from 1 species